rnacentral:rRNA from 1 species
CCUUUUGUUGCCUCGGCAGAAGUUAUAGGUCUUCUUAUAGCUGCUGCCGGUGGACCAUUAAACUCUUGUUAUUUUAUGUAAUCUGAGCGUCUUAUUUUAAUAAGUCAAAACUUUCAACAACGGAUCUCUUGGUUCUGGCAUCGAUGAAGAACGCAGCGAAAUGCGAUAAGUAAUGUGAAUUGCAGAAUUCAGUGAAUCAUCGAAUCUUUGAACGCACAUUGCGCCCAUUAGUAUUCUAGUGGGCAUGCCUGUUCGAGCGUCAUUUCAACCCUUAAGCCUAGCUUAGUGUUGGGAAUCUACUUCUCUUAGGAGUUGUAGUUCCUGAAAUACAACGGCGGAUUUGUAGUAUCCUCUGAGCGUAGUAAUUUUUUUCUCGCUUUUGUUAGGUGCUAUAACUCCCAGCCGCUAAACCCCCAAUUUUUUGUGGUUGACCUCGGAUCAGGUAGGAAUACCCGCUGAACUUAA